UACGUAGGGUGCAAGCGUUAAUCGGAAUUACUGGGCGUAAAGCGUGCGCAGGCGGUGAUGUAAGACAGGUGUGAAAUCCCCGGGCUUAACCUGGGAACUGCAUUUGUGACUGCAUCGCUGGAGUGCGGCAGAGGGGGAUGGAAUUCCGCGUGUAGCAGUGAAAUGCGUAGAUAUGCGGAGGAACACCGAUGGCGAAGGCAAUCCCCUGGGCCGGCACUGACGCUCAUGCACGAAAGCGUGGGGAGCAAACAGG
rnacentral:rRNA from 1 species